rnacentral:lncRNA from 1 species
CAAGCGAUUCUCACGGGGAGGCAGAAAGAGGCGUUCGCGUUUAAAGCGCCGAAGGAGGACAAGCUCGUCAGGCAGGAAACACAGACAACAAGACGAGCCGCACGGCCCGGCCAGCUCCUCCCAGCGGCAAGCCAGCAGCGGGCAGUUGCGCACCUGACACCGCCGGCCCCCACCUGCCGGGCCCUCCCUCCCGCUCGCCCGGGCCUGCCUGCCCCGCCAGCCGCCCGCGCGGCCUCACUCGCCCGGCGCGGAUCACCUUUGCCCUCGGCCCGGCCUCCGCAACGCCUCCGGCCCCGCACGCGCGGCCGCCGCGGCGGGGGCCAACGGCCGCCCCCUGCGCGCGGGCCCCUCGCGCCGCCCUCCCCAACGGCCGCGGCUCCUCUUCCCCUCCCUCCCCGACUACCAGCAGUCCAAGACAGUUGGAGGGGGAGGGGGCGGCACCCAGGUGGCGCAGAACAGAGGCCCCGGGUUCAACGGCCCGCCCGUCCCCGCGGCAGGAGAAAGAAGAGGAAAGCGGGGGAGAAAGAAGGCGCCAGACCCGUCCGCCCGGCCCCAGAGCGCCCCUUACCUAGGCAGGCGCGGAGGACGCCGGGGACAUCAACAUGGGGCCUCCGCCAUCGACGCCUCGCGACCCCGCCCUCCCGCUCACGUCACUUCCAGCCCCGCCGGCCGCGGGGUGGGMCGUUAGCGGGAACCGGCUGGAGCUGGCGCGGGGCGGCGGGCGCGAUGGGGCCCGGCCUGCCUGGGGGCAUAGGGCGGCCGCAGCUGCGUCAUGAGGCUCCUCACGCGUCUUCGCGGUGCCCCGGUGGCCUGGGACUGCAACGCCCAGGUCUGUUCCUCGGAGCGUUCCCGUUGCCGCCGAGCGUUUGCUCUGUAGUAGCCCCUGUAGCCCCACUAUGGGGACACAGGCCCAAAGCAGUUCCCGUGGGGGAGCUCACCUUGCGGCACCCCCGUGUAUGGGCCCGCUUCAGACCCAGCGAGCUGGACUUGGUGGGUACACACACACACACACACACAGCUUAUUCUGCCUACACGUCCUGGAGACCACGUCCCAGGGCACUCCUUCCCCUCAACCGCUACGUGUCCAACCUCGCAGGCUCACGUAAGCCCAGCUGGCGCUGGAGCCUUUGCUUACGCCAUGCACGAAGCAUGUUGUAUAGCUUGCUUCAUUACUCAAGACUGCAUGCUUACUUCAGGGAACAAGAUGGGUGA